ensembl:lncRNA
CCUCUGGCCUUCACCUACAAAAUGUCAAAUAGACACCAAACAACCAGGACUUGAAAGGCCUUCAAAGAAAAAUAACACCACUACAAAGAGAAACAACACGGCUACAAAUAGAUUCAACUUCAAAGAGACACAAAACCAAAACAAAUGAUUCUAAACCACAACAAAGAGAAACAAAACCACCACACAAGACUCAGAACUACUACAACAAGAGUCAAAACUACUACGACACUCAAAACUACUGCGAGACUCAAAACUACUACAACAAGACUCAAACAAAGAGACUCAAAACUACUACAAUGAGACUCCAAACUACUACGAGACUCAAAACUACUACAACAAGACUCAAACAAAGAGACUCAAAACUACUACAACAAGAGUCAAAACUACUACAAAACUCAAAACUACUACAAAACUCAAAACUACUACAAUGAGACUCAAAACUACUACAACAAGACUCAAAACUACUACAACGAGACUCAAACAAAGAGACUCAAAACUACUACAACAAGACUCAAAACUACUACAACGAGACUCAAACAAAGAGACUCAAAACUACUACAACGAGACUCAAAACUACUACGAGACUCAAAACUACUACAACAAGACUCAAAACUACUACAACGAGACUCAAACAAAGAGACUCAAAACUACUACAACGAGACUCAAAACUACUACAACAAGACUCAAACAAAGAAAAACAAAACCACCACACAAGACUCAGAACUACUACAACGAGACUUAAAACUACUACGAGACUCAAAACUACUACCACAAGACUCAAACAAAGAGACUCAAAACUACUACAAGACUCAAAACUACUACAACAACACUCAAACAAAGAGACUCAAAACUACUACAACAAGAACUCAAAAGUAGUACGAGACUCAAAACUACUACAACGAGACUCAAAACUACUACAAGACUCAAACAAAGAGACUCAAAACUACUACAAGAUUCAAAACUACUACAACGAGACUCAAACAAAGACACUCAAAACUACUACAACAAGACUCAAAACUAGUACAACGAGACUCAU